GAUGAACGCUGGCGGCGUGCCUAAUACAUGCAAGUCGAGCGAACGGACGAGAAGCUUGCUUCUCUGAUGUUAGCGGCGGACGGGUGAGUAACACGUGGAUAACCUACCUAUAAGACUGGGAUAACCUCGGGAAACCGGAGCUAAUACCGGAUAAUAUUUUGAACCGCAUGGUUCAAAAGUGAAAGACGGUCUUGCUGUCACUUAUAGAUGGAUCCGCGCUGCAUUAGCUAGUUGGUAAGGUAACGGCUUACCAAGGCAACGAUGCAUAGCCGACCUGAGAGGGUGAUCGGCCACACUGGAACUGAGACACGGUCCAGACUCCUACGGGAGGCAGCAGUAGGGAAUCUUCCGCAAUGGGCGAAAGCCUGACGGAGCAACGCCGCGUGAGUGAUGAAGGUCUUCGGAUCGUAAAACUCUGUUAUUAGGGAAGAACAUAUGUGUAAGUAACUGUGCACAUCUUGACGGUACCUAAUCAGAAAGCCACGGCUAACUACGUGCCAGCAGCCGCGGUAAUACGUAGGUGGCAAGCGUUAUCCGGAAUUAUUGGGCGUAAAGCGCGCGUGGGCGGUUUUUUAAGUCUGAUGUGAAAGCCCACGGCUCAACCGUGGAGGGUCAUUGGAAACUGGAAAACUUGAGUGCAGAAGAGGAAAGUGGAAUUCCAUGUGUAGCGGUGAAAUGCGCAGAGAUAUGGAGGAACACCAGUGGCGAAGGCGACUUUCUGGUCUGUAACUGACGCUGAUGUGCGAAAGCGUGGGGAUCAAACAGGAUUAGAUACCCUGGUAGUCCACGCCGUAAACGAUGAGUGCUAAGUGUUAGGGGGUUUCCGCCCCUUAGUGCUGCAGCUAACGCAUUAAGCACUCCGCCUGGGGAGUACGACCGCAAGGUUGAAACUCAAAGGAAUUGACGGGGACCCGCACAAGCGGUGGAGCAUGUGGUUUAAUUCGAAGCAACGCGAAGAACCUUACCAAAUCUUGACAUCCUUUGACAACUCUAGAGAUAGAGCCUUCCCCUUCGGGGGACAAAGUGACAGGUGGUGCAUGGUUGUCGUCAGCUCGUGUCGUGAGAUGUUGGGUUAGGUCCCGCAACGAGCGCAACCCUUAAGCUUAGUUGCCAUCAUUAAGUUGGGCACUCUAAGUUGACUGCCGGUGACAAACCGGAGGAAGGUGGGGAUGACGUCAAAUCAUCAUGCCCCUUAUGAUUUGGGCUACACACGUGCUACAAUGGACAAUACAAAGGGCAGCGAAACCGCGAGGUCAAGCAAAUCCCAUAAAGUUGUUCUCAGUUCGGAUUGUAGUCUGCAACUCGACUACAUGAAGCUGGAAUCGCUAGUAAUCGUAGAUCAGCAUGCUACGGUGAAUACGUUCCCGGGUCU
rnacentral:rRNA from 1 species